rnacentral:rRNA from 1 species
AUUGAACGCUGGCGGCAUGCCUUACACAUGCAAGUCGAACGGUAACAGGUCUUCGGAUGCUGACGAGUGGCGAACGGGUGAGUAAUACAUCGGAACAUGCCUAGUAGUGGGGGAUAACUACUCGAAAGAGUGGCUAAUACCGCAUGAGAUCUAUGGAUGAAAGCAGGGGAUCGCAAGACCUUGUGCUACUAGAGCGGCCGAUGGCAGAUUAGGUAGUUGGUGGGAUAAAAGCUUACCAAGCCGACGAUCUGUAGCUGGUCUGAGAGGACGAUCAGCCACACUGGGACUGAGACACGGCCCAGACUCCUACGGGAGGCAGCAGUGGGGAAUUUUGGACAAUGGGCGCAAGCCUGAUCCAGCAAUGCCGCGUGCAGGAUGAAGGCCUUCGGGUUGUAAACUGCUUUUGUACGGAACGAAAAGCCCCGGGUUAAUACCCUGGGGUCAUGACGGUACCGUAAGAAUAAGCACCGGCUAACUACGUGCCAGCAGCCGCCGUAA